UACAGAGGGUGCAAGCGUUGUUCGGAAUUAUUGGGCGUAAAGCGCGUGUAGGCGGCUUUGCAAGUCGGGUGUGAAAGCCCUCAGCUCAACUGAGGAAGUGCGCCCGAAACUGCAGAGCUUGAGUGCCGGAGAGGGUGGCGGAAUUCCCCAAGUAGAGGUGAAAUUCGUAGAGAUCAGGAAGAACACCAGUGGCGAAAGCGGGCGACCUGGCCCGACAUUGACGCUCAUGCACGAGAGCGUGGGGAGCAAACAGG
rnacentral:rRNA from 1 species